AAUCUAAUGACGAGAACUUGUAUAUGAUAAUGAAGGUGAUAAUU
rnacentral:guide_RNA from 1 species